rnacentral:lncRNA from 1 species
CAGGGUGGCCUUGAACUCAGAAAUCUGCCUGCCUCUGCCUCCCAAGUGCAGGGAGUAAAGACGUGCGCCACUACUGCCAGGUGUUUUUUGUUUUCUUAUGUAGCAUCUUUCCAGCAGAUCUUGGGAGAGGAAUUCUCAGUACCGGUUCUAAUUUCACAACCAUUUGGGUAACCUUGACCUUUGACCUUUGCGAAUUUGGAUGGAAUGGCCAUUUUUUCUUCCUGGCGAUGGUCCCUCUGCUACUUGAUUUUGGCCGCCUCCAGCUGCGGAUAUCUAGGGACAAAGAAAGCUGAGUGCUGUGCUGGCUGGGAUGACCUUGGGUAAAAUUCGUGUUGAAGGAAGCCAGACGCUACCUAGAUGUAGGUUUGCAUCAGUGUCAUAAAACACCUGAGGCAGGCAACUUUACAAGCACCUAUGGUUUAUUUAGGUUAUUUAGAGUUGGGAAAGUCUAAGGACCAGUUUCUUGUGAUGUAUGGCCUUCAUGGUGAUCAAGUCUCAAAGUCGAGCAUAUAUCUCACUGCGAGGAGGCAGGGCACAAGCAGGUAUGUAUCUUCUAGUCUGACUCCCUCUAAGAAAUCCACCAGAAUUCAGUCAUGGGGGCUCCACAUAAUAAGGUUAAUCUUAAUCACCCCAAACUCAUCUCUGGGCAUUACAUUAAGUUCACACCAUCUUAAUUCUUCAAAAAUAGGGAUUAAACUUGAACUGAUGAGCCCCAGGAGACACACUUUAGAUGCCUGCCAGUCUUAGCUUAUGACUGACAAAUCCAAGCCUCACUGCUAUUGGGGGACUUAAAUUCUGAAAAUCAGGUCUGGUAAAAGUAUUUGAGAAAGCAGGUCCAUCUGAUUUGAUCUUGUGUCAUUCUUUCAACAGUGGACAUGGGAAGCUGGAUGACAAGCCAUCCCACAGGGCAGGGGAACCCUAAGUGGAGUCCCCGCCCCCCUCAUUUGUAAUACACUCUGUAUAUUAUGUGCUAUGUGGAAAUAAUGUAUACUUGACAUAUUUAUGCCUCUGAAAUAUAUGAAUAAACAAGGAUCCAUCCACA